CAGAGUUGCAAAACUCCCAACCCUUUGUGAACGAACCUGACAGUUGCUUCGGCGGCAGGCCCCUCUGGGGCCUCGCCCUCGCGGGUACCCCGCCGGAGUCCUACAAACUCUUGAUUAUUUUGGCAUCUCUGAGUAGCUUAUAAAUAAGUUA
rnacentral:misc_RNA from 1 species